UGGUGGCUACAUUGCUGGUGUCUUCUGUGCUAUUGUUUCUCACCCGGCUGACAACCUGGUCUCUUUCCUCAACAAUGCCAAGGGUGCUACAGUGGGUGAUGUAAGCAUGUUUCUAUCUAGUUUAUCUUUGAGAUUUUCUAUCCUCUUCUUAACUACUGGACUAUUUGCUGACUUCAUGUUAUUAUUAAACCUUCGUAGGCUGUUAAGAAGAUUGGCAUGUUGGGCCUUUUCACCAGAGGACUUCCCCUUCGCAUCGUCAUGAUCGGUACUCUUACCGGUGCUCAGUGGGGAAUCUAUGACGCCUUCAAGGUCAUGGUGGGACUGUAAGUAUCUCAUCCUCUAUGCAAAUUCAUCUGGUAAACAACUUCUGAGGAAGUAGUAACAAUUGGUAAUCCAUUUUCUUCCAGCCCGACCACCGGCGGUGCUCCACCAGUUGCUCCGGUAGAGGAAGCAGCGAAAGCCAUCGCUUGAUUGAUUUUUCCUACUAUGACGAUGACGAUGUAUUCCGGGAUGAUGGGGUAUUGGUGGAUGGGGACUGUAUCAAUUACUUGAGUUUAGCACCCGAAAUCUUUUGUUAUUGUAGCAGAUGGUUAUUGUGUCAUCAUUUUGAUGAGAGGAACUCAUUAAGCAGGCGAAAUAGGCCUUUUUUUGUCCCCGGGAAGUUUGAUGCUUGACAUAAUAAGUUUUAGGACAGCAAGGCUGUUAGAGCGCAGGUUUUGCCAUCACCUGUACUGAGGAAUUCCCAUAUUAUACUCCUGUUUACCUCCAAUUCUAUGCUGUUGAUAUCGUGGCAUGUUCGUUUCUGAACGGGUAGAACGUUUAUUGUUUUACUAGUAGUAGUAGUUAUCUUCUCUUCGUGCUUGCAAAAUCAU
rnacentral:lncRNA from 1 species